CCAUUCUCAGGGCGGGAGCCGGAGUCCGGGCGCCCGGGAUCGGGCUGGGCCCGCGCCCAUGGCAAGCGCGGCCUGUCCGGGCCCUGGGGACCCUGCCAUGUGAGGCAGGCCCGGGCUGGGGGCCCGGCCAUGGCCGGGGAACGGCCCCCACUGCGGGGCCCUGGGCCCGGGCCUGGAGAGGUGCCGGGGGAGGGGCCCCCGGGGCCGGGGGGCACGGGCGGAGGCCCGGGCCGGGGCCGCCCCUCCUCCUACCGGGCUCUCCGCAGCGCCGUGUCUAGCCUGGCGCGUGUGGACGAUUUUCACUGCGCGGAGAAGAUCGGGGCCGGCUUCUUCUCUGAGGUCUACAAGGUUCGGCACCGACAGUCAGGGCAAGUCAUGGUGCUGAAGAUGAACAAGCUCCCCAGUAACCGGGGCAACACACUACGGGAAGUGCAGCUGAUGAACCGGCUCAGGCACCCCAACAUCCUAAGGUUCAUGGGGGUCUGUGUGCACCAGGGACAGCUGCACGCUCUUACAGAGUAUAUGAAUGGGGGGACAUUGGAACAGCUGCUCAGCUCCCCUGAACCCCUAUCCUGGCCGGUCAGGCUCCACCUGGCCCUGGACAUUGCCCGAGGCCUGCGGUACCUGCACUCCAAAGGUGUAUUUCACCGCGACCUCACAUCCAAGGGAGGGGGCAAGGAAGGAGCCAUUGGCUGUGGUGGGCUCCCCAUACUGGAUGGCUCCAGAGGUGUUACGGGGUGAGCUGUAUGAUGAGAAGGCUGAUGUCUUUGCCUUCGGGAUUGUCCUCUGUGAGCUCAUCGCCCGAGUACCUGCAGACCCUGACUACCUACCACGCACUGAGGACUUUGGCCUGGAUGUGCCUGCUUUCCGAACUCUGGUGGGGGAUGACUGCCCACUGCCUUUCUUGCUCCUGGCCAUCCACUGCUGCAGCCUGGAACCCAGCACCCGUGCCCCCUUCACUGAAAUUACCCAGCACCUGGAAUGGAUCCUGGAGCAGCUGCCUGAGCCAGCCCCACUCACCAGGACCGCCCUGACACACAAUCAGGGCUCUGUUGCAAGAGGGGGUCCCUCUGCCACGCUUCCCAGGCCAGAUCCCCGGCUUUCCCGAAGCCGGUCAGACCUCUUCCUGCCCCCAUCACCAGAAUCACCCCCCAACUGGGGGGACAAUCUGACUCGAGUCAACCCCUUCUCACUACGGGAAGACCUCAGGGGUGGCAAGAUCAAGCUCUUGGACACGCCCAGCAAGCCAGUCCUGCCUCUUGUGCCACCAUCACCAUUCCCAUCCACUCAGCUGCCCUUGGUGACCACCCCGGAGACCCUGGUCCAGCCUGGGACACCUGCCCGCCGCUGCCGCUCACUACCCUCAUCCCCCGAGCUCCCCCGCCGUAUGGAGACAGCACUGCCAGGUCCUGGCCCUCCCGCCGUGGGCCCCUCGGCUGAAGAGAAGAUGGAGUGCGAGGGCAGCAGCCCUGAGCCGGAACCUCCAGGACCAGCGCCCCAGCUGCCUCUGGCUGUGGCCACAGACAACUUCAUCAGCACCUGUUCCUCGGCCUCCCAACCCUGGUCCCCUAGAUCAGGACCCGUCCUCAAUAACAAUCCCCCAGCUGUGGUGGUGAACUCCCCACAAGGCUGGGCUGGGGAGCCCUGGAACCGGGCCCAGCAUAGCCUGCCCCGGGCGGCAGCCCUGGAGCGGACAGAACCCUCGCCACCCCCUUCAGCUCCCCGGGAGCCCGAUGAGGGGCUGCCCUGUCCUGGCUGCUGCCUCGGCCCCUUCAGCUUUGGCUUCCUGUCCAUGUGCCCCCGCCCCACACCAGCUGUUGCCCGCUACCGCAACCUGAACUGUGAGGCGGGCAGUCUCCUCUGCCACCGAGGGCACCACGCCAAGCCACCCACACCCAGCCUGCAGCUGCCUGGGGCACGCUCUUAGCAGUGGAGCCUGUGGUCUCAGGCCUCCAACUUUGGCCUUCAGGACACCCUGUAAGAACAGAGCACACUUGCUGGACAGUGCCAGUCCCAGAUGGGCUGACCGGCUCUUCUCCCCGUGUAGGGGAGCCCCAGCAUGGACUCAAGGGACAGAGCACUUCCAGUCGACCCCCGGCUCGCGUUCUCGUGGGGAUCACUGAACCAGACACAGCAUUGCUGACACAUGAGACUAACACGUGCAAUUAUUUAAAAAGAUUUCAAUAAAACUGCCUGGCUGGCUCCGGGCCGCCCCUAUCCGCUCA
rnacentral:sRNA from 1 species